GAAGAUGAAGUUUUAGAUCUUGGCAUUCCUAUCUCUAAUCUUGAUGGAAUGCGUGUUGUUCUGGAUGUUGCAGAGCAUAGUGCAGGAAAAGAUAAACAGAAGAGUGGAGGAGUGAAACCAGGUCCAUCCACUUUGGGCACAAGAAAUCAUGAUGUAACGGAGAAAGAAGAAAGAAAUUUAGGAAAACCAUCUUCAGUUAAAGAAAAAGGAGAUAAUGGAAAAUCU